rnacentral:rRNA from 1 species
CCUACGGGAGGCAGCAGUAGGGAAUCUUCCGCAAUGGACGAAAGCCUGACGGAGCACCGCCGCGUGAGUGAUGAAGGUUUUCGGAUCGUAAAGCUCUGUUGCCAGGGAAGAACGUCUUGUAGAGUAACUGCUAUAAGAGUGACGGUUCCUGACAAGAAAGCCCCGGCUAACUACAUGCCAGCAGCCGCGGUAAU